GUCCCUUCAGGGACAUCCGAUAAAAUUAAAACAAUACAUAGAAGAUUAACAUGGCUCCUGCACAAGGAUGACACGCACCAAUCGAGAAAUGGUCCAAACAUCA
rfam:Medicago truncatula strain A17 chromosome 2, whole genome shotgun sequence.